UCGGUAUUGCCCAAAAACUGCAGAACUCGGUGGGGCCCAUCACGUGGGGCUGUCGCUGCCCACUCCCUCCUAUCUCUUUCUCUGCCUCAAAACAGUCCGGUCCCACAACCCAACCUCCCUUGCUAUCAGUCCAUGGCCGGCCAUCUCUCUCCGCCACCCCCGAGCUCGCAUCCGGCCAUCUCAUCCUCCCGAGCUCGCUUCGUUUCCUAGAAUCUCAUCAGUCCGAGCUAGCUUCGCUUCUGCCGAGGAGGACCGGAGCUCCGAGGCCAUGUGCUCCAAGGCCUCCAUGGCCAAGACCAGGCGCCCUCGCUGCCUUGGCCACCUGCGCACACGUUCUGGAUCCGAACCGAAGGCGCGGAGAGAAUCCCGACCGGCGGCGUUGCCCCGUGGCCUCGAGCUCGAAGUCGCCUGCAGCUUCGCCGGUCGCCGUGGGCGUCGAUUCUGUCUUCGGCACCACCACGAGGAGCCUCCGGGAUUCCACCUCCGCCGGGAUUCCUUUACUAUCUCGCCUCGUGCUAGGAGAGAGAAGAGGAGGGGAUUCGUCGUGCUCGGAUGGGAUUCGGCAGAUUCGUGAGGAUUCGUGGCUGAUUCGUGGCGGCGAACUCCGGGGAUUCGUGGCGGCGGCGGCCGGCACGGGGAAGAACUUGGGGAGGCCUUUGAACUCCGCCGCCUGGAGAUGGAGAACGCCACCGCCGUUCUGGAUUCGGGAUGCGCUGCCGUUCACAUCCUCGCCGCCACUAACUUCAAACGAGGGACGGCGGCGACCUGCCGGACACGGGGAAGAUGGGGUUGUGGCGCUGCGCCGGUCGGGAGAGAGGGGGACGGAGAGAUGUGGUGUUUGCAGGGGGCAGGUCUAAUAAAUGCUUGCGGGGCCUACCUCAUUGUAUAUGGCAGUGUAUAGAAGAUGUAUUUGGAAUAAACAUUUAAUGGCACAUAUCCCGAAACACGAUCCCACGGACCAGAUAUAGGGUGCGAUUGCCACCGAGUGCAAAAAAUCCGCGUUACAUAAAAGAUAUUGUACAAAAG
rnacentral:lncRNA from 1 species